rnacentral:hammerhead_ribozyme from 1 species
AGUUAGCUGGAGAGUCCCAAAUAGGACGAAAUGCGCGUUGUCCUGGAU